CUGAACCAGCCAAGUAGCGUGAAGGAUGACUGCCCUAUGGGUUGUAAACUUCUUUUAUACGGGAAUAAAGUUAGGCACGUGUGCCUUUUUGUAUGUACCGUAUGAAUAAGGAUCGGCUAACUCCGUGCCAGCAGCCGCGGUUAUACGGAGGAUCCGAGCGUUAUCCGGAUUUAUUGGGUUUAAAGGGAGCGUAGGCGGAUGCUUAAGUCAGUUGUGAAAGUUUGCGG
rnacentral:rRNA from 1 species